AGGAUAAACGCUGGCGGCGUGCCUAACACAUGCAAGUCGAACGCGCUUUUUCGCAAGAGGAGAGCGAGUGGCGGACGGGUGAGUAACACAUGGGUACCUACCUUGGAGUGAGGGAUACCGGCGAGAAAUCGCCGACAAUACCGCAUACGCUUCUCUUCACCGGGAAGCAAAGUUGCGCAAGCGACGCUCUGAGAUGGGCCUGUGGCCGAUUAGCUAGUUGGUGGGGUAACGGCCUACCAAGGCGACGAUCGGUAGCUGGUCUGAGAGGACGAUCAGCCACACUGGGAUUGAGAACGGCCCAGACUCCUACGGGGGCAGCAGUGAGGAAUUUUCGUCAAUGGGGGCAACCCUGAACGAGCAACGCCGCGUGCAGGAAGACACUUUUCGGAGCGUAAACUGCUUUUCUCGGGGACGAGUAAGGACGGUACCCGAGGAAUCAGCCCCGGCUAACUACGUGCCAGCAGCCGC
rnacentral:rRNA from 1 species